rnacentral:rRNA from 1 species
GCUAUACAUGCAAGUCGAGCGGACCGAAAAGAAGCUUGCUUCUAUUCGGUUAGCGGCGGACGGGUGAGUAACACGUGGGCAACCUGCCCGUAAGACUGGGAUAACUUCGGGAAACCGGAGCUAAUACCGGAUAACACGAAAGACCGCAUGGUCUUUCGUUGAAAGGCGGCGUAAGCUGUCACUUACGGAUGGGCCCGCGGCGCAUUAGCUAGUUGGUGAGGUAACGGCUCACCAAGGCGACGAUGCGUAGCCGACCUGAGAGGGUGAUCGGCCACACUGGGACUGAGACACGGCCCAGACUCCUACGGGAGGCAGCAGUAGGGAAUCUUCCGCAAUGGACGAAAGUCUGACGGAGCAACGCCGCGUGAGCGAAGAAGGUCUUCGGAUUGUAAAGCUCUGUUGUUAGGGAAGAACAAGUACCGCAGUAACUGGCGGUACCUUGACGGUACCUAACGAGAAAGCCACGGCUAACUACGUGCCAGCAGCCGCGGUAAUACGUAGGUGGCAAGCGUUGUCCGGAAUUAUUGGGCGUAAAGCGCGCGCAGGCGGUCCUUUAAGUCUGAUGUGAAAGCCCACGGCUCAACCGUGGAGGGUCAUUGGAAACUGGGGGACUUGAGUGCAGAAGAGGAGAGCGGAAUUCCACGUGUAGCGGUGAAAUGCGUAGAGAUGUGGAGGAACACCAGUGGCGA